UACAGAGGUCCCAAGCGUUGUUCGGAUUCACUGGGCGUAAAGCGUGCGCAGGCGGCUUCGCAAGUCAGACGUGAAAUCCCCGGGCUUAACUUGGGAAUGGCGUUUGAAACUACGGAGCUGGAGUGUGGCAGAGGGAGGUAGAAUUCCACGUGUAGCGGUGAGAUGCGUAGAUAUGUGGAGGAAUACCGAUGGCGAAGGCAGCCUCCUGGGCCAACACUGACGCUCAUGCACGAAAGCGUGGGGAGCAAACAGG
rnacentral:rRNA from 1 species